CCCUGUUUAUGCUGCACUGUACCUAUUAUAACCAGUUUUUAUAUAGAUCAUUAUUUGAAAUACUAUGAGAGCCUUUCUGUUAGGAUACUGUACAGCAGGGAUGGGCAACUGGAGGCUCGGGCGCCACAUGCAGCCCAACUUCUCACUUUAAAAAAAAAGAAAAAGGACAGUUUUUAACCCCCUAUAAAUCAAUAGUGUAAGCAUUCCGGUAUAAAUAAACAAAAAGUGAAGUAUCCUUUUGUAAAUUCUCUCAAGUGCGUGGUGAUGUGGUUGUGGUAAUUAAAAAUGUUGGCCCACCUUACAAUGAAAGUUGCCCACCCCUGCUGUACAGCCUACAUCACUUGUACAUGUCCUUACCAAAUAGGACACUAGCUAGCUAAAUGUAACUAAUAUGGUAUUGUGAAAGUUAUAUGCCUAAAUGUAAACCAUAAUAUUAAAUUGUGAUGGACAGAAAUCAACUAAACCAACAUAUUACAUUGUGAAUGUAGUUGCGCAGUGAUACUGAGACCGACUUAUUCCUGUCUUUAUUUGCCAGGCUUCUACACUUGCCCUCAGAGUUCACAUAUGGUCAAGUGCACAGGUGGCCAGCCAGGUUCAGACUGAUACUGGUAACAAGAGGAAAACAUGCUGAUUGGAAUGAUUCAACGAUGGACAUUUUGCUUAAUUGUGGAAAAAAUAAAUGGAAAAACGUC